rnacentral:rRNA from 1 species
AGUGAACGCUGGCGGUGGGCCUAACACAUGCAAGUCGAACGGCAGCACAGUAAGAGCUUGCUCUUACGGGUGGCGAGUGGCGGACGGGUGAGGAAUACAUCGGAAUCUACUUUUUCGUGGGGGAUAACGUAGGGAAACUUACGCUAAUACCGCAUACGACCUACGGGUGAAAGCAGGGGAUCUUCGGACCUUGCGCGAUUGAAUGAGCCGAUGUCGGAUUAGCUAGUUGGCGGGGUAAAGGCCCACCAAGGCGACGAUCCGUAGCUGGUCUGAGAGGAUGAUAAGCCACACUGGAACUGAGACACGGUCCAGACUCCUACGGGAGGCAGCAGUGGGGAAUAUUGGACAAUGGGCGCAAGCCUGAUCCAGCCAUACCGCGUGGGUGAAGAAGGCCUUCGGGUUGUAAAGCCCUUUUGUUGGGAAAGAAAAGCAGCAGGUUAAUACCCCGCUGUUCUGACGGUACCCAAAGAAUAAGCACCGGCUAACUUCGUG